UGAGGGAUAGUUUAACGGCAAAACAGCGGACUCUGACUCCGUCGUUCCUGGUUCGAAUCCAGGUCCCUCAG
rnacentral:tRNA from 1 species